rnacentral:rRNA from 1 species
UACGAAGGGGGCUAGCGUUGCUCGGAAUCACUGGGCGUAAAGGGUGCGUAGGCGGGUCUUUAAGUCAGGGGUGAAAUCCUGGAGCUCAACUCCAGAACUGCCUUUGAUACUGAAGAUCUUGAGUGCGGGAGAGGUGAGUGGAACUGCGAGUGUAGAGGUGAAAUUCGUAGAUAUUCGCAAGAACACCAGUGGCGAAGGCGGCUCACUGGCCCGAUACUGACGCUGAGGCACGAAAGCCAGGGGAGCGAACGGG